CUUUUCUUGGUAAAGCAAGCAAAAGAUGGAGAACAAGCUGAACUGAAGAGUGCUAGGAGGGCAUUUUGAGUUAUCCCAACUGGCUAGGAAACUCCUGCAUAUCAAUUUAUCAGAGGGAGUUGUGCUCACCUGGGCAAGUAACUCAUUUGUCAAGGAGUUCUCCUCGCUUUUGGAGACACUGGGUUUGCUAUAUUAAUCUUCUACAUUGUUAUGUUCCAAACUUAUUACAGUCUCAGUCGUUGUCUCACCUGAAAAGACAAAUCAUAAACCACCUGAAACUUGAACUGGAAGAUCUAUAAGUGCAUUAUGACAAAGAAACACUCUCCUGUGUGCAGUAAGUUUGAAUCAAGAAAAAGUUACUUUCCUAUGGAAUU
rnacentral:lncRNA from 1 species